GUGCCAGCCGCCGCGGUAAGACGAACCGUACGAACGUUAUUCGGAAUUACUGGGCUUAAAGGGUGCGUAGGCUGCACGGAAAGUUGGGUGUGAAAGCCCUCAGCUCAACUGAGGAAUUGCAUCCAAAACUGCCGUGCUUGAGGGAGACAGAGGUGAGCGGAACUCAAGGUGGAGCGGUGAAAUGCGUUGAUAUCUUGAGGAACACCGGUGGCGAAAGCGGCUCACUGGGUCUCUUCUGACGCUGAGGCACGAAAGCUAAGGUAGCAAACGGGAUUAGAUACCCCGGUAGUCUUAGCUGUAAACGAUGAGCACUUGAUUGGAGGGUCCUCCAUAGCCUUCCAGUCGUAGCGAAAGUGUUAAGUGCUCCGCCUGGGGAGUAUGGUCGCAAGGCUAAAACUCAAAGAAAUUGACGG
rnacentral:rRNA from 1 species